rnacentral:rRNA from 1 species
CGAAAGACGGACUAAUACUGCGUACACUCACUUGGAGGCAUCUUUUAGUGAGGAAAGAAAUUCGGUGCAGGAUAGGCAUGCGUCCCAUUAGCUAGUUGGUGAGGUAACGGCUCACCAAGGCAACGAUGGGUAGGGGAACUGAGAGGUUUAUCCCCCACACUGGUACUGAGACACGGACCAGACUCCUACGGGAGGCAGCAGUGAGGAAUAUUGGUCAAUGGGCGGGAGCCUGAACCAGCCAAGUCGCGUGAAGGAUGACUGUCUUAUGGAUUGUAAACUUCUUUUGUAUGGGAAUAAAGGUAGGGACGUGUCCUUAAUUGAAUGUACCAUACGAAUAAGCAUCGGCUAACUCCGUGCCAGCAGCCGCGGUAAUACGGAGGAUGCGAGCGUUAUCCGGAUUUAUUGGGUUUAAAGGGUGCGUAGGCGGUUUGUUAAGUCAGCGGUGAAAUCUUGGGGCUCAACCCCGAAACUGCCGUUGAAACUGGCGAACUUGAGUGUAGAUGAGGUAGGCGGAAUUCGUGGUGUAGCGGUGAAAUGCAUAGAUAUCGCGAGGAACUCCGAUUGCGUAGGCAGCUUACUAAGUUACAACUGACGCUGAUG